UCUUUAGGUGGUCAUUUCUCGCGUCUCAGACCAUAACAUUUGGAGACCCCAGCAAGAUUCUGCCCUAAUAUAGGGCACCUGGUGACCACCUCUGCCUGGAGACCAGGCUCGGAGUCGAGUGUCUUGCCCAGGGGAAGGCCUCUGAGAGACAUUCCUCAGCCCCAGGCAGAGGCUUGACAACGCACCGGCCCCCAACACCUUCAAAACUGCAAAUUCUUCUGGAUGAGUCUUCUGGUUCUGUUCACCGAGUUUUGUCAUCCAUAGACAAUUCCUGGCCCUGACGGGCAACCUGUGUUUGCCUUCCCCACCAUGCACCCAGACUGGGAACCAAAUGAAGAAUGAGAAACAAAAUCUACAAAUGCCCAAUUACUUGAGUAGAUGGAUCCUGACUGGAAAAGAUUUCCUGUUUUGAAACCGUAGAUCUCCAGGAAUAGCUGAAAGAUCAGCAGUUGGAAGAGGACACAACAGCUCCAUCACAAUGGGUCUACGGGGACUUCUCCACAUGCUCCUUCAAUACUCAACGCAACUCAAUCUUCUGGGACUCCUGUGUUUCCCAAACACGGCCAGAGAACCAGCAACUGACAUCACCUAUGCCUUGUUUACCAUCCCUCUCUUCAUCCUUCAUCCCAUUAAUUCUGACCACCAGAAAAUGGUUGUUACCUGCAGGAGACUCUGAGUUGGUGCCUGAGGAGUUGGAUCCAUUUUUGAACCUCACUUGAGCAGAAGUGAUUUCCAAAGCCAUGUUCAGAAGAGACCUUCUGCUUUCAUCAGAAAAUCUGUUUCAUCUCUUCCUUAAAACCUCUUAUAAAUGAGAACCAAACAUGGUGAUAAAUUAUCUCUUUCCUGUCACUCAACUUGGUGCGAGCAGGGGCAGCAGACAUGUGAGUACCCCGACCGGGAUCUCGUGAGAACCGGAACUGCGGCGUGGGGGCCACGCCGUCCGCAGAGGCCCCGUCCUCGGGAUCAGCGCGGUGGGAGCCACAGCUGAGACAGGCGCUGGCAAACGUACAGAAGCGGGAACUCAAAGCCUGGAGGAAAGAAACGGGAAGGAAAGGAA